AUCUUUGUGCAGUGGCAUUUUCACAACCUGUGAGGUGCAUCCAAGGUGUGAUAAUUGAAAACUCCACCUAAAACCCUGCAAUGAUGACUUACUAUAUAUUCAGCUUUGCCAAUUUCUUUUUCAUCCACUAGGGG